CCAGAGUCCUACGGGAGGCAGCAGUAGGGAAUCUUCCGCAAUGGACGCAAGUCUGACGGAGCAACGCCGCGUGAGUGAAGAAGGUCUUCGGAUCGUAAAGCUCUGUUGUUAGAGAAGAACAGCGCAUAGAGUAACUGUUAUGCGUGUGACGGUAUCUAACCAGAAAGCCACGGCUAACUACGUGCCAGCAGCCGCGGUAAUACGUAGGUGGCGAGCGUUGUCCGGAUUUAUUGGGCGUAAAGGGAGUGUAGGCGGUCUUUUAAGUCUGAUGUGAAAGCCCACGGCUCAACCGUGGAGGGUCAUUGGAAACUGGGAGACUUGAGUGCAGAAGAGGAGAGCGGAAUUCCAUGUGUAGCGGUGAAAUGCGUAGAUAUAUGGAGGAACACCAGUGGCGAAGGCGGCUCUCUGGUCUGUAACUGACGCUGAGGCUCGAAAGCGUGGGGAGCAAACAGGAUUAGAUACCCUGGUAGUCCACGCCGUAAACGAUGAGUGCUAAGUGUUGGAGGGGUUCCACCCUUCAGUGCUGGAGUUAACGCAAUAAGCACUCCGCCUGGGGAGUACGGCCGCAAGGCUGAAACUCAAAGGAAUUGACGGGGGCCCG
rnacentral:rRNA from 1 species